UCUUCCGGGAUAGGUAGUAGUUAAGGUGAUGGCUUAACUAGCUUAAAAUUCUCGUAGUCGAAGCUGAAAGGUUGAUCGACCACAUUGGGUCUGAAAAAACCCCAAUGCAAGUUAGUACAGCAGUGAGGAAUCUUGGUCAAUGGCCUAACGGCUGAACUGGCAACUUGGAGAAGUGGCAAGUCUUAUUUUUGAUUAUAAUUUUAGAUAAUCUAUAAGAUUGUAUUAAAAUUGAAUAAAGCUUUGUUUAUAUAUUGAUAAUGACAAUAUAUAUAUCGUGUCUUGACUAAUUACGUGCCAGCAGUCGCGGUAAUACGUAAGAGACUAGUGUUAUUCAUCUUAAUUAGGUUUAAAGGGUACCUAGACGGUCAAUAUAGCUUCUAGAAUGUUAGUACUUGACUAGAGUUUGAUGUAAGGGGGCAGUACUUGAGGAGGAGAGAUGAAAUUCUAUUAUACCAAAGGGACUCGGUAAAGGCGAAGGCAGCCCUUUAUGUAAAAACUGACGUUGAAGGACGAAGGCACAGAGCACAAACAGGAUUAGAUACCCAAGUAGUCUUUGCAGUAAAUGAUGAAUGCCAUAGGUUUAGAUUAA
rnacentral:rRNA from 1 species